UACGAAGGGGGCUAGCGUUGUUCGGAAUUACUGGGCGUAAAGGGCGCGUAGGCGGCUUGGCAAGUUGGGUGUGAAAGCCCAGGGCUCAACCCUGGAAUUGCACUCAAGACUGCUUUGCUUGAAUUCGGUAGAGGUUGGUGGAAUUCCCAGUGUAGAGGUGAAAUUCGUAGAGAUUGGGAAGAACACCCGUGGCGAAGGCGGCCAACUGGACCGACAUUGACGCUGAGGCGCGACAGCGUGGGGAGCAAACAGG
rnacentral:rRNA from 1 species